UACAGAGACUGCAAGCGUUAUUCGGAUUCACUGGGCGUAAAGGGUGCGCAGGCAGUUGGGUGUGUCAGAUGUGAAAUCCCGAGGCUCAACCUCGGAACUGCGUCUGAAACUACUCGACUAGAGUACUGGAGAGGGUAACGGAAUUCACGGUGAGCAGUGAAAUGCGUAGAGUAUCGAUGAGGAACACCAGAGGCGAAGGCGGUUACCUGGACAGUUACUGACGCUCAGGCACGGAAAGCAUGGGGAGCAAAAGGGAUUAGGAUACCCGGGU
rnacentral:rRNA from 1 species